UUUGUUUCUGGGUCCUCCUUCAUCUU
rnacentral:piRNA from 1 species